GGCAAUGGCGGCUCCCUUGGUUGUGCUGCUGGCGAGUGCCGAAAGACAACGACGCGACGAGAGGCAACGACGCGACGCGUUCGGCAUGGCCGAAGAAGAGUUUCGAAGGCAUUUUAGUCUCUCCAAAGACAUAGUGCGACGUCUUUGCGAUGAGCUGGAAGGACAUCUCGGACCUCAAAGAUUGCGUGGUGUCGACACUACGAUGAAAGUGCUGUGCGCGCUGCGGUUUUUUGCCACCGGGAGCUUUCAACAGUGCGUCGGGAAUGAAGAAGCGAUUGCACUGUCGUAGCCUUCGGUCAGCCGGAUCAUUACAGCCGUCGCCAAGGCCAUUACGGUUGUGGGCAAGGAAAAAGGAUGGGUUAGAUUCCCAUCCACGGCGCAACAGAAAGCCGCCGUCAAGGAAGACUUUCUUAGCCGUGGAAAAAUUCCAGGAGUUCUAGGAUGUGUGGACGGGAGUCUGAUAGCCAUCGUUCGCCCUAAGAAGCUCGGCCCCGGCGAAACGGAAUCGUACUGGAGCCGUAAAGGGUAUUACACCCUCAACUGCAUGGUCGUGUGCGACGCGAAGCUGAAUAUCCUGGAAAUUGACCCACGGUUUCCGGGAUCGUGCCACGAUUCAUUCGUCUGGAGGCAUUCUACAAUUCGCCGCCGCCUCACUCGUGGCCUGUUACUUCAUGGAGAAGUCUUGCUUGGGGACUCUGGGUACCGGCUAGCGCCAUGGAUCAUGACUCCUGUGCCUGGUCACCCAAAUCGCCUCACGGCAGAGGGGCGCUAUAAUGAGGCACACGCAUCAAUGCGAAAUGCCGUUGAGCGGUGCAUAGGAGUCGUCAAGAGCCGCUUCCGAUGCCUGCAGAUGUAUCGGGUGCUCCACUACUCGCCUCAGAAAGCAGCCACUAUUGUUGCAGCUUGUGCAGCGCUGCAUAACCUCUGCCUUGCAGCAGGCGCGCCUCUGCCAGACGACCCAGAUGAUGACGGUGCACAUGACGACAGCGCACAGCGGCCAGCCCAGGCACAAGUGCCGCUUCAAGUACAGGUGCCACCGCAGGCGCACCCUGUACAGCCUUCUCGAGCUUUGUUUCAAUGAGGCCGUGCGGUGCGCGAAUCUAUAGUUGGUGUGUUUCGGCUGCCCAGAAAUUUGCGCAUUGCCUACCUGCAAA